GAUGAACGCUGGCGGCGUGCCUAACACAUGCAAGUCGAACGGCAAGGCACCUUUGGGGGUACUCGAGUGGCGAACGGGUGAGUAACACGUGAGUAACCAGCCCUUGACUUCGGGACAACUUCAGGAAACUGGGGCUAAUACCGGAUAGGAAUCCUUGCUGCAUGGUGGGGGUUGGUAAGCUCCGGCGGUUUUGGAUGGACUCGCGGCGUAUCAGCUUGUUGGUGGGGUAGUGGCUUACCAACGCUCUGACGGGUAGCCGGCCUGAGAGGGCGACCGGCCACAUAGAGACUGAGGUGCGGCACAAGCGGGGACGGGUGGAAGAAGGGCGGAAUAUUGCACAAUGAGCGCAGGGCUGAUGCAGCAGGGCCGCGUGCGGGAUGGCGGCCUUCGGGUUGUAGAACGGUUUCAGCAGGGGCGAAGCUUGUGGUGACGGUACCUGCAGAAGAAGCACCGGCUAACUACGUG
rnacentral:rRNA from 1 species